AAGUCGUAACAAGGUUUCCGUAGGUGAACCUGCGGAAGGAUCAUUACUGAACUGUCAAACGGGUUGUUGCUGGCCCUCAUAGGGGGCAUGUGCACGCUCUGUUUACACAUCCACUCACACCUGUGCACCCUCUGUAGUUCUAUGGUCUGGGGGACCCUGUCUUCCUUCUGUGGUUCUACGUCUUUACACACACACUGUAAUAAAGUUUUAUGGAAUGUACAUCGCGUCUAACGCAAUACAAUACAACUUUCAGCAACGGAUCUCUUGGCUCUC
rnacentral:misc_RNA from 1 species